AAUCCAUAGGUUAAUGAGGCGAACCGGGGGAACUGAAACAUCUAAGUACCCCGAGGAAAAGAAAUCAACCGAGAUUCCCCCAGUAGCGGCGAGCGAACGGGGAGGAGCCCAGAGCCUGAAUCAGCAUGUGUGUUAGUGGAAGCGUCUGGAAAGGCGCGCGAUACAGGGUGACAGCCCCGUACACAAAAGCGCAUGUGCUGUGAGCUCGAUGAGUAGGGCGGGACACGUGGUAUCCUGUCUGAAUAUGGGGGGACCAUCCUCCAAGGCUAAAUACUCCUGACUGACCGAUAGUGAACCAGUACCGUGAGGGAAAGGCGAAAAGAACCCCGGCGAGGGGAGUGAAAAAGAACCUGAAACCGUGUACGUACAAGCAGUGGGAGCCCCACCACCAAAGCAUUCUCUGGUGUUGAAGGCCCUGCAAAGCAGCAUCGCGGUGGCGGAGCGUCGUUUGCGACGCCCAACACACAAAACAAGCGGUGAGUGC
rnacentral:rRNA from 5 species